GACGAACGCUGGCGGCGUGCUUAACACAUGCAAGUCGAACGGAAGGGCCCUGCUUUUGUGGGGUGCUCGAGUGGCGAACGGGUGAGUAACACGUGAGUAACCUGCCCUUGACUUUGGGAUAACUUCAGGAAACUGGGGCUAAUACCGGAUAGGAGCUCCUGCUGCAUGGUGGGGGUUGGAAAGUUUCGGCGGUUGGGGAUGGACUCGCGGCUUAUCAGCUUGUUGGUGGGGUAGUGGCUUACCAAGGCUUUGAGGGGUAGCCGGCCUGAGAGGGUGACCGGCCACAUUGGGACUGAGAUACGGCCCAGACUCCUACGGGAGGCAGCAGUGGGGAAUAUUGCACAAUGGGCGGAAGCCUGAUGCAGCAACGCCGCGUGCGGGAUGACGGCCUUCGGGUUGUAAACCGCUUUCGCCUGUGACGAAGCGUGAGUGACGGUAAUGGGUAAAGAAGCACCGGCUAACUACGUG
rnacentral:rRNA from 1 species